UUGCUAUAGCCGAGUUUGAGCUCCCAAGAGACAUACCACAGAGGAGCUCCCAGCUAGACCAGAAGCCUGAGAAUAACCUUACACUGCUGGAUGGAAGACAGAGAGAAAGAUAAAGAAGGAAGGGACACAACAUAGAUCAUGCCUGCAAACUCUUAAUGCUGCCCCUAAACUUUGUUUCUUGAGCCAAGAUCAUGUGACGAGUAUAAAGGGGAACAGCAAGGGCUUAGAGCAAGUACAGCAAGACAAACACGUCACUGACGUCAGGUCAGCGGACACAGCUGGAAGAUAUCAGAUACAACAGCAUGAAUGUUGCUAAACUACAACUGCCACAAAGCAUAUCAAAACCUCCAGAAGCUGUCCAUGACACCACAACCCAUCCAUAGACUAAGUGCAAAAAUAUCAUGAAGCGCAGGAGACUACAAAGCUUUUUUAUGGGUUGGAAAAAGCAAUGUUGGCACACCUUGGAAAAUUGUUAAAGUGUAACUUAACACAUUAGUCAACCAAGAAGAAUUUCUUACUGCAGAAGAGACAUACUGGGGGGGAAUUCAAUAAAAAUGUUACGCCACUUUUCUGGCAUUAAUUGCUCUAGCUAAUGUGUUUCACCUAAUUAAAAAAACAUAUGCAACAGUUUUGGUUUUGACAGUGACUAGUGUGCCAAAUAAGGUUAUAACUUCUCCACUACCAAUUUGUUUGUCUACGUUGUGAUGCAACAACUGCACCAAAUUCUAAAUAAAACACAGACAGUUGGUAUCUUAUGAAAGGGGAGCUAAUGAAGACCAACUUUCUUUUGAUGUACAGAGACAAAUUUUGCUUGCAAAACACUUUCAUAAAAUCUGUCUUUAUGAAUUCCAUGUCUUUUCUGCAAUUGAGGCUUCUUACUAUCCCCCUCGCCAGAUGUUUUAGAAUGUACACUGAGCUGCACAGGGUACAUUGCUGUAGUUAUGUUAUCCAAGUCCCGUCAAUCAAGAUGGCUAUUGGCCCCAAACCCAGAGGAAGUCUUGAAGAACAUGUUGGUGCCAGCAGGGAGGCUUGUAGACGUUGCAUCAUUAGGGAAAGUGAGUAUCAAAGUGUUUAGUUCAGCUUUAACAGCUUCGUAUAUACAUGUCCAAGGACAAAUCAUAAAGAUCAAGUCAUUCAGCAGCCCCGCCAAUGACCACAUAAGUUGGUAGUUGUGGCUGUUAUGCUUUAGGAUUUGCCAUCAUGCCUGAAUCAAUACAAUAGAUAACUAGCAGGUGGGACAGUUGUGUGUUUCCUACACAUGUGCCAUUUGUCUACCAAUUAGAUCAUAACAGCCUAACCUUUGCAAAUAAA